GUGCUCGCUUCCGCAGCACAUAUACUAAAAUUGGAAUGAUACAGAGGAGAUUAGCGUGGCCCCUGUGCAAGGAUGACACGCAAAUUCAUGAAGCGUUCCAUAUUUUU
ensembl:snRNA U6 U6 spliceosomal RNA